AUUAGAGACAGGGGGUAAAUAUUAGAGACAGGGGGUAAAUAUUAGAGACAGAGGGGUAAAUAUUAGAGACAGAGGGUAAAUAUUAGAGACAGGGGGUAAUAUUAGAGACAGGGGGUAAUAUUAGAGACAGAGGGGUAAAUAUGAGAGACAGAGAGGUAAAUAUUAGAGACAGAGGGUAAAUAUUAGAGACAGGGGGUAAAUAUUAGAGACAGAGGGGUAAAUAUUAGAGACAGGGGGUAAAUAUUAGAGACAGAGGGUAAUAUUAGAGACAGAGGGGUAAAUAUUAGAGACAGAGGGUAAUAUUAGAGACAGAGGGUAAAUAUUAGAGACAGGGUAAUAUUAGAGACAGGGGGGUAAAUAUUAGAGACAGAGGGUAAAUAUUAGAGACAGAGGGGUAAAUAUUAGAGACAGAGGGUAAAUAUUAGAGACAGGGGGGUAAAUAUUAGAGACAGAGGGUAAUAUUAGAGACAGAGGGGUAAAUAUUAGAGACAGGGGUAAAUAUUAGAGACAGGGGCUAAUAUUAGAGACAGGGGGUAAAUAUUAGAGACAGAGGGGUAAAUAUUAGAGACAGGGGGGUAAAUAUUAGAGACAGGGGGUAAAUAUUAGAGACAGGGGGUAA